rnacentral:rRNA from 1 species
ACUCCUGCGGGAGGCAGCAGUGGGGAAUUUUGGACAAUGGGCGAAAGCCUGAUCCAGCAAUGCCGCGUGAGUGAAGAAGGCCUUCGGGUUGUAAAGCUCUUUUGUCAGGGAAGAAACGGUGAAAGCUAAUAUCUUUUGCUAAUGACGGUACCUGAAGAAUAAGCACCGGCUAACUACGUGCCAGCAGCCGCGGUAAUACGUAGGGUGCAAGCGUUAAUCGGAAUUACUGGGCGUAAAGCGUGCGCAGGCGGUUUUGUAAGUCUGAUGUGAACUCCCCGGGCUCAACCUGGGAAUUGCAUUGGAGACUGCAAGGCUAGAAUCUGGCAGAGGGGGGUAGAAUUCCACGUGUAGCAGUGAAAUGCGUAGAUAUGUGGAGGAACACCGAUGGCGAAGGCAGCCCCCUGGGUCAAGAUUGACGCUCAUGCACGAAAGCGUGGGGAGCAAACAGGAUUAGAUACCCGGGUAGUCCCA